rnacentral:rRNA from 1 species
UGCGUAGGCGGGUUUCUAAGUCAGAGGUGAAAGCCUGGAGCUCAACUCCAGAACUGCCUUUGAUACUGGAAGUCUUGAGUAUGGCAGAGGUGAGUGGAACUGCGAGUGUAGAGGUGAAAUUCGUAGAUAUUCGCAAGAACACCAGUGGCGAAGGCGGCUCACUGGGCCAUUACUGACGCUGAGGCACGAAAGGCGUGGGAAGCAAACA